rnacentral:rRNA from 1 species
GAUGAACGCUAGCUACAGGCUUAACACAUGCAAGUCGAGGGGCAGCAUCGCGAUAGCUUGCUAUUGCGGAUGGCGACCGGCGCACGGGUGAGUAACGCGUAUCCAACCUUCCCGCAACUGGGGAAUAACCUUGCGAAAGUAAGACUAAUACCCCAUGGUCUCCACGGAUGGCAUCUGAAAUGGAGUAAAGGUUUCGGCCGGUUGCGGAUGGGGAUGCGUCCGAUUAGCUUGACGGCGGGGUAACGGCCCACCGUGGCAUCGAUCGGUAGGGGUUCUGAGAGGAAGGUCCCCCACCAUUGGAACUGAGACACGGUCCAAACUCCUACGGGAGGCAGCAGUGGGGAAUAUUGCACAAAUGGGGGGAAAACCCCGUGAUGCAGCGACGCCGCGUGAGCGAAGAAGUAUUUCGGUAUGUAAAAGCUCUAUCAGCAGGGAAGAUAAUGACGGUACCUGACUAAGAAGCACCGGCUAAAUACGUG